AUUAAGUUUUUUAUUAAAAAAAAAAACAGGUUGCUUAGGAACAGGGUUUCUGCUCAGCAAGCUAGAGAAAGAAAGAAGGUUUAUGUGAAUGACCUAGAAUCCAGAGCCAAAGAGUUGCACGACAAAAAUUUGAAGUUAGAAGAAAAAAUUUCAACUUUGAUCAACGAGAACACUAUGCUUAGGAAGGUUCUUAUGAACACCAGGCCUAAAGUUGAUGAAGGUAUUGAGCCACAAAAUGAUGUGCCAGGCAACAGUUAGCAAUUAGGAUAUCCAAGUUACUGUUUCACGAAUUAUUGUAAGAGAAGAAGUGAAUAUAUCAAAACUAUACAUUGGGAGUUUGUCAUAUCUUGAUGUGGAACUAGACUUGUUUGCUAUGUUUAUGAUUACUUAACCAUGUCUUCCUUGACAUUGUUCUGCUUUUUCCAAUUUGUCAGAGUUCUUUGUAAACUCUGUUUGCUUA